rnacentral:rRNA from 1 species
UACGAAGGGGGCUAGCGUUGCUCGGAAUUACUGGGCGUAAAGGGCGCGUAGGCGGAUAGUUUAGUCAGAGGUAAAAGCCCAGGGCUCAACCUUGGAACUGCCUUUGAUACUGGCUAUCUUGAGUUCGGGAGAGGUGAGUGGAAUGCCGAGUGUAGAGGUGAAAUUCGUAGAUAUUCGGCGGAACACCAGUGGCGAAGGCGACUCACUGGCCCGAUACUGACGCUGGGGCGCGAAAGCGUGGGGAGCAAACAGG